rnacentral:rRNA from 1 species
ACACACAGCCAACUAAUAUUUAACAAAGACAACAUGAGUGCGCAGGAUCUUGUCUGAUCUUGGAAACUAAGCAGGGUCAGGUUUGAUUAGUACUUGGAUGGGAGAUUGCCUGGGAAUACCAGGUGCUGUAGGCU